GACCCCGCCGAUCAGCUCCGAUCCGAGCCAGCGAGAGCGGAAGGCGCGCCAUGGCAAUGGCUCGAGCGAGCUCGGGGCUCGCGUACCCGGAGCGCUUCUACGCCGCCGCCUCCUACGCCGGCUUCGACGGAUCUCCCCGCGCCGCCGCCAAGGGCGUCGCCUCCAAGUUCUCCAACGACUCCGCCCUCCUCCUCUACGCCUUGUACCAGCAGGCAACUAUUGGACCUUGUACUGUACCGAAACCCAGAGGGUGGAGCCCUGUCGAGCAAAGUAAAUGGACUAGUUGGAAUGGCCUAGGAAAUAUGGCGUCUACAGAGGCAAUGCGACUAUUUGUGAAAAUAUUGGAGGAGGAAGAUCCUGGUUGGUACUCGAGAGCAUCUAAUUAUGUUUCUGAACCUGUUUCAGAGCCUGUUGUUAACGUGGAAAUGAAUCAUACUGAAAAAGUUGACCCGGUGGUUGAGAAUGGUGUCUAUACUACUGAGCCAAAAAUUACAUCUACUGAAAAUGGAAUCCUGAGUGAAACUCAGGACAAAGACGCUGCUUCUGAUGGUCUAGGAUCAGUUGCUGUCUACGAUCAAUGGAUUGUACCUCUGACAUCCGGUCAACGUCCAAGAGCACGCUAUGAGCAUGGAGCAGCAAUCAUUCAAGACAAGAUGUACGUAUAUGGUGGAAACCAUAAUGGACGAUACCUAAAUGAUCUUCAUGUUCUGGAUUUGAGGAGCUGGGCUUGGUCAAGAGUAGAGGCAGGGUUCGAGGUUGAUUCAGCAGAGUCACAACCUUCCAGACCUUUAGCUCCAUGUGCUGGUCAUUCCCUGAUACCUUGGGAAAAUAAGCUUAUUUCAGUUGCUGGACACACAAAAGAUCCUUCUGAGACCAUACAAGUGAGAGCAUUUGAUCUACAAACUAAUACUUGGUCAAUCUUGAAGACUUAUGGGAAACCACCGGUGUCCCGGGGAGGUCAAUCAGUAAUUCUGGUUAGCACUAGCUUAGUGAUAUUUGGCGGGCAAGAUGCAAAAAGAUCUCUAUUGAAUGAUCUUCAUAUACUUGACCUUGAAACAAUGACUUGGGAUGAAUUUGAUGCUGCGGGUGUUCCUCCUUCUCCAAGGUCUGAUCAUACUGCUGCGGUACAUGCAGAGCGUUAUCUCCUCAUUUUCGGUGGGGGUUCACACGCUACUUGUUUUAAUGAUCUACAUGUCCUUGAUUUGCAAAAUAUGGAAUGGUCAAAACCCACACAGCAAGGUGAUAUACCUACUCCAAGGGCUGGACAUGCAGGUGUAACUAUUGGAGAGAAUUGGUUUAUAGUUGGUGGUGGUGACAAUAAGAGCGGGGUAUCAGAAACCGUUGUCCUGAACAUGUCUACAUUAGUUUGGUCUGUUGUGACCACUGUCGAAGGGCGCAUUCCAGUUGCUAGUGAGGGUUUGAGUUUGGUUGUAAGCUCCUAUAAUGGUGAAGAUGUCAUCGUAUCUUUUGGAGGAUAUAAUGGGCGUUACAACAAUGAGAUUAAUGUUCUUAAACCAAGCCACAAAUCGACACUACCAGCAAAAGCAAUCGAAAGUCCUUUGCCUGAUAGUGUUUCUGCUGUGCACAAUGCGACAAAUGCUACCAGAGACUUGGAGUCAGAGGUUGAAGCGGUCCAAGAUGGAAAAAGAGAAGUUUUGGACAAUAUAGAGAAAGAUCCCAGGAAAUCAAGAAAUGAGGGAACUGCAGAACAUCUUUUGGCAACCCUCAAGGCAGAGAAAGAAGAAUUAGAAUCUUCACUCAGCAAGGAGACGUUGUUGUCUCUUCAAUUAAAGCAAGAAAUCUCAGAAGCCGAGACUCGCAACACCGAUCUGUACAAGGAGCUUCAGUCUGUGCGGGGUCAGCUUGCCGCAGAGCAGUCAAGGUGUUUCAAACUUGAGGUCGAUGUGGCAGAACUAAGGCAGAAGCUGCAAAUGAUGGAGACGUUGCAAAAGGAGCUUGAACUCCUCCAGCGACAAAAGGCUGCUUCCGAACAAGCUGUGCUAAUGGCAAAGCAGAGGCAGAACUCCAGCGGAAUGUGGACGUGGAUCACCGGAACACCUCCAAGCCCAAAAGUUGACGAUGUCUGAAAUUUUCGGAGUCCUCCACAACAUCGACAGCUUUUACCAAAGAUUUUUUCCUUUUUUGCCUAUUUAACCCUGUUCUUUGUAUGAAGAGAAUAAAAAAGGUGAUGCCUAAGAUUUUUGCAUGAAUUUGUUGUAGAUUUAGUUCUUUGGCUUGAGUCAGGGCUAUGUAAUGUGAACAGAGAGAGAGAGAGAGAAAGUAUAGGUUGUCAACAUGUCAUUGCCUCAUCAGCUAUUGAGUAUAUUAAGUGAGAAAUACUAAAGCUAUCGGGCAUCUACAGUGUCAAUUACUUUUCUUUUUUUGGACAUUCAUCUUUGUGACUUUCCUAUAAUAUAAAUUUAAACUGGCAUUUUUCCUUCGCA